GUGCUCACUUCCAUAGCACACACGCUAGAACUGGAAUGACACAGAGAAGAUUAGCGUGGCCUCUGUGCAAGGGUGACAUGGGAAUUCCUGAAGCACUACAUAUUUUU